rnacentral:lncRNA from 1 species
GGGAGAGGGUUUGGGGUAGAUGAGAGGUGGGAUGGGAAGGGAAUAAAAGUUUUAGGGGAAAAGUGGGAGGGAGUAAAUAUUUUGGGGGAAAAUAAAAGGUUUUGAGGGGUUUUGGGAGUAAAAUUUUGAGAAAAAGUAAAUGGGAGAGUAAAAUUUUGGUGGGAAAUGAAUUUUGGGUAAAUUGGGGGGUUGGGAGGGGAGGGGAGUAAAAGUUUUGGGGGGAAAGUGGAAAGGAAUAAAAGUUUUUGAGGGAAAAGUAAAAAGGUUUGAGAGUUUGGGGUAAAAAAUGUAAAAUAUUAUAGUUUGAUAUUCGAAUUAUUCGAGUUAUUCGUAUUUGAAAACUCAACUCGAUUCGAACUUGAAAUUUGAAAAAAAAAUUCGAGUUGAUUCGAAUAACUCG